UGGGGAAUAUUGCACAAUGGGCGCAAGCCUGAUGCAGCCAUGCCGCGUGUGUGAAGAAGGCCUUCGGGUUGUAAAGCACUUUCAGCGAGGAGGAAGGUGGUGAGCUUAAUACGCUCAUCAAUUGACGUUACUCGCAGAAGAAGCACCGGCUAACUCCGUGCCAGCAGCCGCGGUAAUACGGAGGGUGCAAGCGUUAAUCGGAAUUACUGGGCGUAAAGCGCACGCAGGCGGUUUGUUAAGUCAGAUGUGAAAUCCCCGGGCUCAACCUGGGAACUGCAUUUGAAACUGGCAAGCUAGAGUCUCGUAGAGGGGGGUAGAAUUCCAGGUGUAGCGGUGAAAUGCGUAGAGAUCUGGAGGAAUACCGGUGGCGAAGGCGGCCCCCUGGACGAAGACUGACGCAUCAGGUGCGAAAGCGUGGGGCAGCAAACAGGAUUAGAUACCCCUGGUAGUCCACGCUGUAAACGAUGUCGAUUUUGGAGGUUGUGCCCUUGAGGCGUGGCUUCCGGAGCUAACGCGUUAAAUCGACCGCCUGGGGAGUACGGCCGCAAGGUUAAAACUCAAAUGAAUUG
rnacentral:rRNA from 1 species